rnacentral:rRNA from 1 species
AUGGCCCGCCGUGGCAUGUUUAAUAGCUGGGCCGUGCUGUGCCGGCCCACGGGCGCUGCUCCUUGGCCCAGGCAUGGCCUGAUUAGUAAACGGGCCGGCCCCAUGGCCCGUUUAGCACGCUGGGCUGUACAUUUCAACCUGUUGGGCUGGCGCGUGCCCAUCUACUUUAGCACUAUAAUAUUAGUGAUUGAUGGAAUUGUAUUGAAGGAAUAUGUUGGUGGAGUCCAACCAAGGAACCACCGCAACCUACACCAGCCCUGGUCGGCGAGCCUGAGCGAUGAAGGCACUCCGGCGGACGGUACCUCCGCAUCGCCGAGGAGGAGGACGAAGGUGGCAACGACCAGAUCCUGGACCUCGCCGACUGCGUGGUACGGCCUUGUCCCGUCGGGGCCGGGGUUGCGCGGCCGCCGCCGACGUCGCCAAGCCAACAUCAUCGUUCAGUCCCUCAACGGCUUCUCCUCCACGGUGCACACCUCUGGGAUGGGCCUGAAGGUCAUGCUGAUGAUCAUGCCCUUCUCCGACCUGCGCGCAGUCAACCUCUACGGCAUCGGUAAGCACUGUCACUAUAAGCCAAUCGCUGCCGAAGGGUCUGUACUCGCUGGAUCUGUCGCUGAACAAGAUCAUGUUGAGAGGCUCCGGGAACUGACGAAGUUGUGCGCGCUCAACCUCAGCUACAACCGGAUUUCAUGCAUCGGCCGUGAUAGGUGGGGUAAAGACUACACCUUGGACUGGAACUCAGGGAGGACUGAUGAAAACCCCACAGACGAAGUUCAUAGAGACAUAUUAAUCUGGUCAAAAAUAGUCAGAUCACGUCCAGUAUGUAGGUCUCAUUGGACUAUUCACUUCACUCUUGUAUUGAUUAUUGAAGUUAUCUUCCGGAAUCCUCGAAUGAAAAUAACAGUCCAAGGGGGUCUCAGUCUUACAAACGAGUUGGAGGGAUGUUGUUCAGCUUCACCUUCUUUGAAUAAACUAGUCCAUAUAUCCUGCAGGACGGUGAAGAUGGCAAUUCAUGGGUUCUUAACAGCAAACAAGGGGUCCAAGAUUGUGAAAUUGACAGGUCUUACAGCUGAAGAAAAGAUAUUUACUGCUCCAUAUGUUUUGUUUGUUAUUCUUGCCUAUUCUACUAGGCACUAUGGCUCGUCUAGCAAACAGGCCGGCCCAGCCACCUCACCCAUCCCCUCCUCACGCCACAGAGGACAGGGGAGGGCGUGGCGGCCAUCCGCCGGCCAUGGCCACGCCAGGCCGUGCGUGGCGGCCAUCGGUCGCGCCCCCCCUACAAAACCCCCGGGUCGAACCCUAGUCCUCCCCCACUUCCUCUCCCUCUCGUUCCUCCCUCCAGAUCCACCGCACUCGAGUCGGGAGCUCGUCGCGCCACCACCGUCAGCAUGCUCCGGCGCCACCCCGGGCUGCAGCAGGGCAUCUAGGAGCUCCCUCUUCCUCGCCUACGUCGUCUACCCCUCCCCGUCGAGCCACACGACGCCGAACGGCCCCGUGACGACGCCCCCAUCUACUCUUCCUCGUCGACGUCGCCGUGCCCGUGGACGCCCGAAGCCACCGUGCUUGUCCCCGUCGCCGUCCGCCGUCACCUCGACCACGGCCUCGAGCAGCAGACCGCCUCAACGUCGAGAUCGACGCCGCUCCUCCACGUCGGCCAUCACCUCCGUCCGCUACGAUCGCCGCCAUCUUCCACGGCUCCGGCGCCGCCCUGCAGCUACUAAGCCGUCGAAGGGCCACCUUGUCCCCCGCGGUGAGCCCCGGAUCCUUCCCCCUGUUUCUCCGUCGUCCCCUCGUCGUAGAUGCCAUGUUCGGUCGCCGUUCGAGCCUACGCUCACCUCACCGCGCCCGAGCCCCUGCUUGCCCGCGGCCCCGACCACGCGGUCCGCAUCCACGCCCACAUCGCGCCGCCUCCCGAUCCACCCUGCGCGCGCCCGGGCCGUGCUCAGUGCAUGCGCGCCGAGCCGCCCCUGCCACGGCCUGCGCCUGGUGCCACCCGCCCGCUGCCGUGCUGUCCAUGCCUUGCCGCCGCCGCUACUGCUGCGUUGCUACUGCGUGCAGCCAUUGCUGCUGCUUCCUGCACCACGCCCCACGCGCCCCUGCCGCGCGCAAGCCCUGCCUCGGCCGUCCUCUGUAGGUGCCGCAGCUCGUCUCCGGCGCACACCCACGCCCCGCGUCCGUCCCGCCCUGCGCCCAACACGCGCGGCCGCGUGCACGCCGCUCGCUUCGCUGCUGCUUUCCUGCUCCCGCAGCUGCCUGCUGCUAUGCUACACGGCUAUAGUAACAUUCAGUUACUGUAGCUAG